rnacentral:SRP_RNA from 1 species
GCUGGGCAUGGUGGUGGGUGUCUAUAAUCCCAGCUACCCGGGAGGCUGAGGCAGGAGAAUCACUUGAGCCUAGGAGGCGGAGGUUGCAGUGAGCUGAGAUCACGCCAUUGCACUCCAGCCUGGGUGAUGAAAUGAGACUCUGUCUCUAAAUAUUUAUUUAUUUAUUUAUUUAUUUAUUUCUGAGAUGGAGUCUCUCACUCUGUUGCCCAGGCUGGAGUGCAAUGGCACCAUCUUGGCUCACUGCAACCUCCACCUCCUGGGUUCAAGUGAUUCUCCUGCCUCAG